UGGGGAAUAUUGGACAAUGGGCGGAAGCCUGAUCCAGCAACGCCGCGUGAGGGAUGACGGCCUUCGGGUUGUAAACCUCUUUCAGCACAGACGAAGCGCAAGUGACGGUAUGUGCAGAAGAAGGACCGGCCAACUACGUGCCAGCAGCCGCGGUAAUACGUAGGGUCCGAGCGUUGUCCGGAAUUAUUGGGCGUAAAGGGCUCGUAGGCGGUCUGUCGCGUCGGGAGUGAAAACCUACAGCUUAACUGUGGGCUUGCUUUCGAUACGGGCAGACUUGAGGCAUGCAGGGGAGAACGGAAUUCCUGGUGUAGCGGUGAAAUGCGCAGAUAUCAGGAGGAACACCGGUGGCGAAGGCGGUUCUCUGGGCAUGUUCUGACGCUGAGGAGCGAAAGUGUGGGGAGCGAACAGG
rnacentral:rRNA from 1 species